UUCGCGACGUCGCACGGGAUGACGACGGCCGUGGUCGAC
rnacentral:lncRNA from 1 species